GCGCCCGGGGCGAGGCGGGAAAGGCGCGUCGCGCGCUCCCUGAGGGCUGAGGCGGGAGCGGCCCGUGAGGGGAGAGCCGGGGCGGAACCCGCGGGAUCGGGGAAUACAACGCGGUAAACCCACCCAUCCCCGCCGAAGCCAGGGUUUCAUCGCCCGGUGUUCUCGGAGCGGCCUCCUUGUGAAGGCGCUCUAAGUCGGCAGUGUCGGAUUGCUCAGUUUGUUUGUCGUCCCAACACACGUAGUGAGGUGUCAGUCCGCCUAAGUCAUGACGGACAUCAGAAAGUAUUUCCCCUCCGCGUUUCUGCUCGAAAGAUAACAAGAUGGACAAGGAGGAGAAAGAAGUGUCUGUCAUUUAGCAAGGACAGCAAAGGAUCCUGAAAGCUGAACAGUGUUUCCAUUGUUUUAACACAAGCUCCGCUUCUCCACUGGAAGAUCCAAAUGACAAGGACACUGAGGGUUUCUUUCUCUUUGCUGUUUGUUUCCCUAGUAACAAAUACACAAGCUGCACUGUUAGAAUACCA